AUUUACUUCCACGUGGAUCUCAGGGUUAUGUUCAAGAUGUCAUCUAGUAAUGAGAGUUGUGAACUGGGAUUCUGAGGAAACAGCUCAUUCCUGACUCCUUACUAACCCUUUUGUAUGUUUUCAAAGCAAACAUGCAAAGCAUGAAGACCUUCAAAAACCCUUCUCUUCCCUCUCAAACCCUGAUUCAGCUUGCAAAGGACAAAAGAGCCCUUCCUUUUCUUGUAGGAGACCUGAGUCUCUUAGAUGGUUUCCCUAUAUGACCUUGGUCAAUCCAGAUACUCUCGUUGGGCCUCAUUUUCUCCUUCUGUAAAGCCUCCGAGAUCUUCCAGCUCUGACGUUCUAUGGUUCAUUUCCACCUGAGAUGGCUGUGGCACUUUGACUUCACUGGGGGAAGCAUUUCAGAUAAGCAGGCCCUGCUAUCUCUGGAGCCUUUCUCUUCACCUUCAUCCCUUCACGUGAAACCCAACGCCAGAGCUUCUGGGACAGCCUCCUCAUUGAUAAAGUGUUCCCUGACUUCUCAAUGAGCUUGCACACUGUAGCUGCAGCGAUAAUGGGCUAUAUCUGGCUGGCCCGGAAUCUUGCCUAUGUUCCAGUCAGUGCUGUGACUAUCAGUUGUCUGCUGAGCAUGAAUGGCCAGAGGCAGAAAAAGGACAAGGAGCCCCGCUGGUGAGAAGUGGAAGUGAUUAACUUAUGUCGCAUGCUCCAGCGGGAGUCUCAGCCAGCGAUAGGCGAAUGAGUGUAUGAUGACAGCUGCCUUGGAGUUCACACCACACCAUCAGCACUCUGCAGGAAACAGAUUACUUCAGGGCUUGAGAGCUCGUUGACAGCUGGAGCUUUCUGAUAAAGUUGUCAGAAAGUGAAAAGGACAGUCCCAGGAAGUUAAGGUGACUGAUUCUGGCUGCUGUGUGGGGUGGCAUCAUGACAUGGAGCUACAAGGCCACUGUGGGACAAGAGAUGAAGAUGAGGUCUCUGCUUUGCAUCAGUGCCUUUCGGCUGAUGUUUCCUCCUCCCUCUGUCCCUCCAUCAGACAGAGGGAGAUGGUGGCUCAGCCUGGUGGGCUUAUCUUUCUGGGUGCACACUGCUUCUAAGGACAGUGGCUGCCCGGCACACUGUGGCCAGCCAGGCAGACUCUGCUUUGCCGGGUGAACUUGGCAAGAGGAGUUCACUGCUGCUUCUGGAGCCUCCACCCAAACCAAAACUGCCUGUCUUUUGUCUGCGACACCUCGUCACCAAUUUAGGGCUUAGGAGACAGCAUGGGCCAAGCAGCUGCUUCCCAUUCCCCGCUUGUCCCAUGUCAGCAGCUGCUCAUGAUUGCCAAGCGUGCCCACACCACUCCCAGCAGACGGCAAGAGGCGCUGUGAGAAAAAGAUCUAGUGUCCAAAUUGCAGGGCAGAUUGCUUUUGUUUUGUUUCUUAAGAAAAACAUGAAAUAAGUAAAAUAGUUGAGUAUUGUAUUAGAAAACUAACCCCAAACAUCUGGGUUUUUGGUACUGUGGUAGCUUAUUUUCAUUCUUUUGUUUGUAACUGACAAAUAUUCACAAAAUAAUUGAGUUGGUACAAUUUUUUAAAGAAGGAAAACCAUCCACGUUGUGUAAAGACAUGGUGAGGAUGAGAGCAGGGACAAGAACAGAUGAUUUGGAAUGAUAUCACAGCUGUCCCCAAGUAGCUCUCUCUGGUGGAGCUUAUUUCAACCAGAAUUUAUUGAGCACCUACUCUGUGCCAACUAUUGUCAGGUACUCGGGAGGCUGAGUGAAAUAAAACAAGGUCCCUGCUGUCUGGGCACUCACAAUCAGAUAACAAUGACUAUAAGAGUGGCAAUAUGACAAUAUAACCAAAACAAAGCACUUGUGAUAGUCCUUCAUCCCCACAACAUCCCUCUAAUGUAGGUAUUCUCCUCCCAAUUUUAAAUUGACAUUUGAAGAGGAAAUGCCAGAGUUGGGAUUUGAAACCCAUUUAUUUGCCUUCAGAGCCUUCUGCUGCCCCUUGGAUUAGUAGAGCUAGAACUAGUCAGUGUAAGUUCUAGGGAGGUAGGUUUCAGCCCAAGAACAGAAGGGCAACUAAAAAGGUGAUGAGCUGUGUGUCAAGGGUGUUGUGUAAAUCAAGGCCUACGGAGGCAUGGCUGAAUCCAGACCCUCCAAAGAGAUUCUCAGAAAUUAAUCUCUCUCCGUGUCUUGGCUCUGCUUUUCCCUGGCUUGACUGCAGUAGCAAGUAGAUUUUUCCCUAUGAAAUGGCAGGAUGCCAUCAGGAGCUUCAAGCUAACAUUCUAUCUACUCCACAGAGUCUCAACAGAAAGAGGGCAUCUUUUCUAAAUGGUUUCAGCAAAAGUCCCAGGACUAACUCUCAUUGGCCUAGUUUGAGUCACAUGCCCGUGUCUGAGCAAAUUUCUACAGCCACAUGAAUGUGGGACUCUCAUUGAAUAAACUCACCAACACACAUGGACUGAGAGCAGUCCUCAUCCCCUAUCUUCUGGGGUCCCCUAAUACCACUCUUCUCAAUGGUAUAAAGGUACUGGGCUCUUUGAGGUCUUUGGAUCAGAGGUCAUGGGUUCCAUUAUAAUAGAAGGAGGGUGGAUUUGGAGUUCAACAGCUUGGUUAGUCACUUAAUGUGUGACCUUGAAUAAAUACCCUUCUCUGAGCCUCAUCUAUAAACUGGGUAUCAUAGCACCUUCCCUGCUGGCUGCAGGAAUGAUUAAACCGGCACUGGCUGCACAGUGGAUGCCGAGUCUCAAUAUCCAGCUCCUGGGAUAGGGGCCACUUGGACAAGGGCUGUUUGUAAAGGGCUGGCCAAGCCAGUUUCCCUCUCCAGCUUCUCUAGCUCCAGCCGGCUCCCCAGAACGACGUUCCCAGAAUGAAUUGGCUCAACUCCUUGCAGAAAUGCUUCCAGAAAAGGCAAUUCGGGAUCAGGUCCUACACUUUUUAGCUGUGUUAGACACAGCUGAGUGGUAGAAAAUGUACAUUCUGGGUCUUCUUCAUGGCAUCAUUAGGACAAAGGUGAACGGUUGACUUCAAGUAAAGGAGGUUACCCCAGAUAAUCAGUGUGGGCCUGCUUUGAUCAGUUGAAAGUCCUUAAGAGCAGAACUGAGGCUUCUCUGAAGAAGAACUUCUGCCUGUGGACAGCAGCUUCAGUUCAUGCCCAAGUCCAGCCUCCCCUUCCUGACAGCCCUCCAG
rnacentral:lncRNA from 1 species